CAGUGUCUACGGGACGCAGCAGUGAGGAAUAUUGGUCAAUGGUCGGGAGACUGAACCAGCCAAGCCGCGUGAGGGAUGAAGGUACAGAGUAUCGUAAACCUCUUUUGUCAGGGAACAAAGGCGGGGACGCGUCCCCGGAUGAGUGUACCUGAAGAAAAAGCAUCGGCUAACUCCGUGCCAGCAGCCGCGGUAAUACGGAGGAUGCGAGCGUUAUCCGGAUUUAUUGGGUUUAAAGGGUGCGCAGGCGGGCUGUUAAGUCAGCGGUCAAAGCCCGGGGCUC
rnacentral:rRNA from 1 species